CCUACGGGUGGCUGCAGUGAGGAAUAUUGGUCAAUGGACGAGAGUCUGAACCAGCCAAGUAGCGUGAAGGAUGACGGCCCUAUGGGUUGUAAACUUCUUUUAUAUGGGAAUAAAAUGUUCCACGUGUGGUGUUUUGUGUGUACCAUAUGAAUAAGGAUCGGCUAACUCCGUGCCAGGAGCCGCGGUAAUACGGAGGAAUCGAGCGUUAUCCGGAUUUAUUGGGUUUAAAGGGGGCGGAGGUGGAGUGAUAAGUCAGGUGUGAAAGUGUGCGGCUCAAACGUAAGAUUGCAGUGGAAACUGGGAGUCUUGAGUGCAGUAGAGGUGGGCGGAAUUCGUGGUGUAGCGGUGAAAUGCUUAGAUAUAACGAAGAACUCCGGUUGCGAAGGCAGCUCACUGGGCUGCAACUGACGCUGAGGCUCGAAAGUGUGGGUAUCAAACAGGAUUAGAUACCCCAGUAGUC
rnacentral:rRNA from 1 species